rnacentral:lncRNA from 1 species
UUGGAUUAUAAUAGGGGAUAUUACACAAGGAAAAUCAUCCAAAUGGAUAUACAAUCUAAAUUUUUUCUUGACUUAAAUUGAAAGAAUCCAUCAACAUCCAUAGAACUUAACUAAAACACAAUCGACGAACAUCAUCCAACAGGAACAUGAUCCCUACAACUUAACUAAAACUGAAACCAUCCGUCUUCAUCAUCCUGAACAGGAACAUCAUCAUCAUUGUAGUAUACUUGCCACACACACCCAUAGAAUCUUCCAUUUAUCUUUUGAAUCUACAAAAAAUGAACUGUUAACACACAAUGCAUUGACAUGAUGCAAGUACUGAUAUAGGCAGGAUAUUAGUCACCUACAAAGGUUGACAUGCACAACUAAAUCUGCAUUACCAAGAGUUGCAAUUUUUGCGACUCUGUACCUAAUCUUCAGUUUUCACAAGUGCCAUCUCGACAUGCACUACCUAGAAUUCAUUAGUAAUUUCAGCACCAUCAAGUUCAAAUUUAGGAUCACAACUUACAACUGUAGCAAGAUCUACAUUUAUGUUAUGAUUUUUUAGGCUCGUUAAAAAUACUUUGUUUUCCUGCCUGUUAGAGAAAAUAAAAGUUACCAUGGGCAGAAUCAUGUCAAGCAAAAUAAUUAAUAGAAACAUGACAUAUAACACAAAAUGUUGAGAGGCCAAGACAUGUCGUGUUUGCAUCUUUUCCUCUACUUUAUGGUUAUGAAUACAUUCUUCUACAUGUUAAUCUCGUGAUGUGCAACAUCUAUGAAAUUCUAUGAAGCCUUUCACUACAAACAAAGUAGUUUUGGUGAUGAACACUUAAAAUAAUUAAACUUCAUAUGAUACCUUUAAUGUAGAACACAAAGAUAGACAUUUUUAUUCGAGUAGCAGUAUGGUAUGAUAAACUGCAUAAUUCUGAGGCACCUACUGGAAGAUAGAGAAGCAGUGUGUUUGACCAUUAAUCAAGUAACAAAACAUUACAAUAUCAAUACCUGGGACAUAUUAAGCCAAAAGAUAAAUUAAAUUUACCAAAUUAGUACAAAUAAAACAUAUUAGACAAUAAAAAGAAGCUUUGAAGCAUAACAUCCAUCAUAAAUGAGGUACUCCCAGUACCGACCCAAUGAUUUUGCAUGCACUGCAGCGAGGACAGCAGGGCGGAUCAAGCAUUAGUUCAUAUUUACCACCAAGUCCUAAUAAAAUAGCUAGUAUAUAUAUCCAGAUCAAACUCUAACUAGCACAUCUGAGCAGAUAAAUCAAAGGCAAUGACACUAUUAAGAAAAGGAGAAGACGCAGCAGAGAAAACAAGACUGUAGUAUGUUCGAAAAAAUAAUUAGGAUGUCUUGUUUGUAGACUUCAAAUACAAAUCAGAUAGAGAUAUGGUGAUAUAUUUAAUUGGAAGUUGCAGGCAUCCAAAAAAUAAUAUUGAAUAUAUAUGGUCUAAUAAUUGAAGGACACUAUAGAUGAACGGUGCCUAUUAAAGUGAUAUUGAAACAAUUGACAUUAUUUUUCUUUUUCUUUUUGCAACCCAUCAGUACAUGACCUCAUGAUGAAUCAGAAACAUGUUAGUAUUUAUAAAGUGGCCAUAUGCUACAAAUUUGCUUCUCUUUUCCCCAUGGUGUGUAUUCUUCGUUGUAAAUAAAAAACAAUCAAGAGAAUAAAGGAGUGACACUACGGAUGUAGGCAAGCGUAGUAUAAAGAGGAAGCACGAACCACAAAAGAAGUGUCUAGAAUUUGGUAAACUAGCAGACAGAACCGUGUAGGUAUAUGUUGUUAAUAAUAGAAGAAGGGGACAUCAAUCAAAUUGCAAAAGCCAAGUGAAUAAAUGGAAAACACCUAUGGUUUUGUAUUCCUGGAACACAAUCUAGUUCAGUUAUCUUAAAAAAAUACAGAAGUCAGAUAGGUUGUAAUAGGUGUGGAAUUUUAUCUAACAUGUCAGUUGAGUAAAUAAGUACUAAUUGUCUCAGCGUAGUUUUAUAAGAUUUGUUUCCCUUCUACUGUAUUUAGUGGUUACAUAGUAAACAAAUUUCUGUUCAUAAAUCAUAAGUAAAUCGCAAGAUCUGCUUGCAUAAAAAAAUUGAUAUGACAUUCAGCUCACAUAAACAUCUUUUUAAAUGGCAAGCAUAGCUCAUGGUAGAUGUACUCAAUAAUAUUUUUCAGAGUUUUGUGACAAGCAACAGUGAUUGAUCACCAGAUUACCUUCCUUUCGAUCUUGAACUCUAACUAUAGUGGGGAGAAAGCCUUAUGCAGC